UAAUAUAUUGAGUAUAGAAAUUGUGAAUAGUUUCUGUUUGUGAGAGCUACUGUUCUUAUGAAUUUAAGUUUUUGAUUUUAAUUAUGUGUACAUAUCUUUUAUAUUGAUCUUAAAUAUUCUACAAUUGUCUUGGGCUCCUGAGAAAUGCUACACACUCUCUCACUUCUAGAAGUUGGGCACCUCAGAAGACACAAGAGGAAUUCAGUCACCUUUUCUUGCAACUUCACUGGUAACUGUCUGUGCUUGUACUUGGUGGAACUGAUACAUCUUUCAGAUGGAUGAGGAUUUGCUCCAGCCUCCUGUCUCCAUGAGUGUGUGACAAGCAGCCAGUGCCAUCAGGGAGCUCAGAGUGCCUCCUGUACCUGGUGCAGGUGGAAGGUUAGGUACUAGGAAGCUGCAUCAGACACAUCCCUGUUGCAGGUAGAGAUAUUAUGUAUUUCAUUCAACAGCUGCCAAGGGAGAGGGAGGUGGGAAUCCCUCCUGAGCAACCACUGGAGUCUGCAAAGGCCAUUAAGGCUUCAUUUCCCAAGUAAGGAGCAGACAGCAGCAGCAGUGACUGUGAGGAAUCCUGUGCAGUCAGCCAGAAUUCAAACUCAUUUCCAUCUCUUGCUGUGUAUGAUUCUGUACCCUGAGAAUUACCAGUCAGAGUGAUGCUGUUCUAGGGUGAAUCA